rnacentral:rRNA from 1 species
UAACUGAAGAGUUUGAUCAUGGCUCAGAUUGAACGCUGGCGGCAGGCUUAACACAUGCAAGUCGAGCGGGGGAAGGUAGCUUGCUACUGGACCUAGCGGCGGACGGGUGAGUAAUGCUUAGGAAUCUGCCUAUUAGUGGGGGACAACAUCUCGAAAGGGAUGCUAAUACCGCAUACGUCCUACGGGAGAAAGCAGGGGAUCUUCGGACCUUGCGCUAAUAGAUGAGCCUAAGUCGGAUUAGCUAGUUGGUGGGGUAAAGGCCUACCAAGGCGACGAUCUGUAGCGGGUCUGAGAGGAUGAUCCGCCACACUGGGACUGAGACACGGCCCAGACUCCUACGGGAGGCAGCAGUGGGGAAUAUUGGACAAUGGGGGGAACCCUGAUCCAGCCAUGCCGCGUGUGUGAAGAAGGCCUUAUGGUUGUAAAGCACUUUAAGCGAGGAGGAGGCUACUCUAGU